UUCGGGACGCGUUAGGCGCUCUAAUAGGAAUCAAACUUUUGAUAGAUAAGAGACGCCGGACAACACGCGUAUUCCUAGGAAGAUGUCGCCUAGCAUGACUCUGGCGAUGCAUAUACUACACAGCACGUUUACAACUUCUCAGUGUUGCGUUCAAAUGUUUCAUCUGUCAUUUAUAGAACCUUUUUUCUAAGGUUCUCAUCUUCUUAGACGUCACCAACGGACGUUUACGUCACUAACUCAGGUGUUUUUGUAAUUCGAAACCGGAAUGCGUUCUUCGAACGGUGUCGUUUUUCAGUCUAACAGUUUGAAACCGGCUAAUUUUUAGACUUUGUUUUUGACAAAAAAUUAACUUAAUUUUGUUUCAUUCAACAGGUAUGAACCAAAUGCUUGAACACUAAUAAAACAACAAUAACUAAACGUGAAAAAAAGGCUACUCCUUCGCGAACAAACAACUUUUGAUCACUAAAGUUAAUGUAUUGAUCAAAUAUUUUUAAGGGUACAAGACGUUACAUUCAAAAUUCACAUGAGUAAUAAUCUUUCAUAAAAAAAAUACCUGUUGUCAUUGUCUUCUUUCCUGGCGCCGCGUUCCUUUCCUCUGAUGUUUUUUCCUGACUGGUUGUACUUGUGUACAUAGUUGUAGAUGUCUGCCUUCUGAUCGUAGCUAAGGAUUCCAAUCAGAAGCUCUACGUCGAAAUCCUGUAACAUCUUGAUUUGGACGGCAGUGUUGCAUGAUGAUAAUAAAUACUCAAUGUCGGCCCAGUCAUCAUCGUAAAACUUAUUUCCGUCAAUUGUGUAAUAGCCAUAGUGCUGUACAAAGUGACAUUUUCUGGAGCAAAUCUUGGCAUACUUCAUCCCAAACAACGUGCCGUAGGUCAUGUUGUACAUCACCACUUCUGACGCCCUGUCUGCUGCUACUUGCAGUCUCUCUUUGCAAAGACGUUACUGUCUAAAAUAUUUUCCUUUUCAUUUGAUUUAAACAUUAUCGACAUGUGUGAUUUUCAACUUUUCACAAAUUUUCUUGUUAUAUUGAUACCUGAGAACGCUUUGACAGAGUCGAAUAGUCAAGCGCUGAAUGGUUUACGAGAUCAGAAUAUCUGCUUUGAAAUGAAUUUUUUAUUGUACUUGAAAAAGAAUCAAGUUUGUAAUAUGUAAUUGUCUUUUUCAAAUCUUAACCAUUAAAUACGAUGUUCGUAAAAUAUAUAAAUACAUUUAAUUAAAUGGCCUGACUUCAAAUUACUUUUAUUUUUUUUAUCUUUGAAUAGUGAUGGGGAUCGCAAAUUUUGAAAUGGACAGGACUGCACUAAACCUGCUGGGUUUCUGUCAACCCGACGUGAUGUAUGGCGUGAUGAGCCAGCACUCUAACAUUGAGCGAGGGCUGUCUUCGCGAUUCUUAUUGGCUAUACCUAAGCCAGUACUGGGAACGUACCAAUCUCUGAAGCUCAAUGCCGGGCAGGAUGGGCGGAAGGAAGUGUAUGAGGAGUUUAGGAUGCUCCUUGGUGAGUCUUUUGUCUUUGCAGUAGACUUCUUGUAUUUUAUUUUAUUUUAUUUUAUUUGAACUUCACCAUAUGUAUUUACACAAAAUGGUAGGGAGGCAAAAACAGGCACUAGUAUUAGGUUAUAAUGCUGAUUGGCUUCAUCAAACGGAGCAAGGUAGUUAUUUGUCAGCCUAUUUUCAAUCUAUGUACAAAAUGUGUUUAAGUGUUUUAUUGCAGCUGGUAAUAAUGUCAACAUGUUUUAGAACUGGUGUUCGAACAUGGAACAGGAGUUCCAUUACAGGUGUUUUAAACGUUUCUCUGAGAAUACCUCAGUCUAUUUAGAAACUGUUGUUGUUGAAUUCUGAGCCUGUUAAAUAGAAUAUUUCACUAUCAUUGGAAUAUAGUAUGUGCACCUCCAUUUACUGGAUAAAUGGCUGAAUCUUUAGAUAUGUGAAUGUAUAUACAAUGUUGUCUUUCAUUAGUUGGUGCAUUGUUUGCUGUCAUCGAGCACAAACGGGAUAAUUAGAAGACAGCGGAUAGCGCGGAGGGCGAUGUGACGAUGUUUGAGGUGGAAGAAGGCCCAGAGUCUGCCCUGGAGAGAACAUAUGCCACCUUCCAAGAGAAUAUCAGGAAGAUGAUGCUCGAGGACAGCUUGAUGUGUUCCCUAUUCAGUAAGGGGAAAGGACAGAUCCUGCGAGUCACCGCAGCGCUUUGGCUUUUGUUUCACGCCGUUGAGAAGCCGGACAAGGUUUCCAGCUCUUUAGAAACCGGGCUUAGUCUUCCUACGGUAAUCCCAGAACGAAUCGUCUCUGCUGCGGUGGCCGUUGUGACUUAUAGCAUACAUCAAACCGGCCUUCUGCACGGCCGAAGACAUAAUGAGGAUGCCGGGACAGUCGACAACUCCGCAACUGACGUGCCAAGCAAGCCCGCUUCUACAACUGACGUGCCACACCUUGGGUCGGCUUCAACGUCUCGGCGAACCACCAACUUCGGGGGUCAGACGCUAUCGGGGAGCAUUUUAUUGGUUCCAGGACGAGUCCUGUCAGUAAAAAAUCUUCUGACGAAACGCGUUUUCAAGACCAGAGGGAAGAAGGAAGUUGCUGACACCAUGCUUGCAAUGCAAGAUCAACAUCUUGGACAGGUGAAGACCCUUUCUCACCGCGGAGGACAGGUGAGGAGUUAAACAGUAAUCUUUUUUUUUGCGCUUCUGAACUAUGUAAAUAACACAAACGGAAAAACCAAACAGUUUUGGUAAUGAAGGUUAAUUAGGUCAAACGAACAUGCUAUCAUUACAUACCUUUGUCAUUGAAUCAUUGUCUACGUUCAUUUUACAUCAUUUGUAUUUACUUACUUAUUUCAUGAAUAUUCCUAAUUUAUCUGCACUUCUAAAUUAAAUGAAUAUAGAAUUUUAAAUAGAGAGUUUAUAGAAGCUUUUUGUCUAUGAGGUUAAUUGUAAGUAAAUGUUUCGGUUAAAUGUAACACAUAGGAACAAUUCAGUAUUCGACUAUUAUUAUGUACUCAAAAAUGAUGAUUCUUCUUUUAAAUUCAUCUUUGUUCUGAGAGUCUACUUCGUAAAAAAUAACAUUCUCGGAAUGCCCGACGCUGACAAAACUGCAGCAAUAGUGGCCUUGGCUCAGCAUGGGGUCAACAUCAAGGAGUUUGCUGACACUCUCGUCGAUAGCGAAGCAGAAGAAGACAUGAAUAAGUCCAUUGAGGCAAACGAUGUGAUCGGGGGAGAGAAAAGGAAGCUGUGCACCGCUUCAACGCUGCUGUCUCCACUAUAUGAUGCCGGUGAUGACAACGACUUUGCUCUGACAACCAAUAAAAGGAGAUCAAUUUAAACAGUCCUUCUAUGUAAAAGGGGUGUGGCCGUGCAGGCAGAAAAUGGCAUACUUAUGUACUAAAUGGUGGAAGUACUUAAAUUAAUUGUUAAAUUACAAGGAAUAAAAUAACAACUACUACUUCUUAUGAUACAAAGUAGUGAAAGAUGACUGCAAUACAUGUAGUUUAUAAGUAGAUAGGGGAGAUGUUUUCAGGUACUUGUAUUUAGCAGUGACGUAAAAAAGGGAAAUAUGACAUUACGAGUGAACUUAAAUUAUUUUGUGUGCAUUGUUAAAACGAACGUUAAGAGGAGAAAUAAAAGACUUGAAAGAAAUGAAUUUUUUUACAAUGCAUGGACAUUGAUUUUGUGCUGAUUAAUGUGCAUCUAUAUUUUAUUCAUAUAUAUGCGUGAGUAGUGUGUAUCUUAUUUGCACAUAUAUAAGUUUUUACUAUGUAUUAAUUAACUUAGGACAACUUCGCACACUU